AAUCGCAGUGACGACUUCUAAAUUUCAAGCUCAACAGACCGGAUUGCAGGUCAGAUAAUUACUUGCAUGUCGAUUAACCCGCUGAACCGAGCGUUC
rnacentral:snoRNA from 1 species